GGCUUAAGCCAGUGAUUGAGCACCUGGUGAGAAGGCAGGGCCAGCUCAGAGGAGCUCAGGUUCAUGCAAUGAACCUGAGUGACCAGAAGGGGUGGAGCCAGGAUCCACUCCCUCCCAGACCUCAUUUAAGGGGUUGGCAGUGGAGGUGAGGGUAUCUUGCUGGAGCUGUCUGUGUAUCUGGGGCUCUCUGAAGGCUGAGAUGUCCCUGCCCAACUGAAUAUUUCUUGCAACGAGUAAUCCUGAAUGAUAAUUUCAUCUGACUGCCUUGAAACUUGUCUCAAGGGUCAGACUGUGCAAAGGGGAAAAAAAAUCCAUCAAGACACAGAUUCUGCCAUUCAUAUCUGAAGCUUGAAAGUGGAAUCAGUGAAACUGCCUAUCAAUUGACAGUGGCAGAAACUUCUGUCUAUAAAGCAAGGUAGGUUAGCAAUCAUUUGUUCUGCUCUGGUAAUGUGACAAGCACUGCUUCUAAGGUAUAUCUGAAUUUCAAUGCUUAGGGCCUUAUAUAAAACAGCUGUCUUUCACACAUACUGUUCAGGUGGACAGCAUCAUGUAUUUUGAUCUUUACUAUUUGAAAAACUGAGCAUGUAAAAUGCGAUUCUGAAAGACGUUCUGUGACUUUGUUUCAUACCUCUUUAAAAAAAGAACAACAAGAAAACAACACACUCUUUCAAUAUCUUAAUCUUUUGGAAUAUGCCAUUGUAUCCCAAAAUGAAUAUUUCUGACUUUGGAAUAUGAAAUGCCUUUUUCAAUAUUAUUUCUAACAUGGUGAAGCUGAG
rnacentral:lncRNA from 1 species